UACAACACGCCUCUAUUCCCAUCUUUCUCUUUCUCUUUCAGAAGCAGUGAGAAAAAGAAUCGCCGCCUUCUGUUGUUCUUGAUUUUAGGUUUUGCUUUCAGUAUGAUUAAGGAUAUGAUGGUUUGGUUUAAUCGGUAUUGAAAUCGAUUGAACAGUGAAUGAAGGUGUUGUUGUCGUCGUUGUUGGUGGUACUGUUCCGAUACGGGUAUUAUGAUUCUAGGGUUUGUUGGUGAAGAUGAGGUUCUCUGAAACUGUCGAUGCAAGGGCUUGAUGAGUUGAAGCAGUGGACGAAGAGAUAGUCCACAACAACAGGAAGACGAAGACCAAUUAAUUAUUUCUAUUGAUUCAAUUUGGGAAUUUUUUUAAAUUAGGAUUCUUGUGUUCUUCAUGAGAUUAAUUGUUUUGAUUUGAUUUUAUUUAUUCAUUCUGAUUUUGAGUUGAUUGCAGAGCUUCCUGAUUCUGUGUAUUUAAGCUUUUUUUCUUUUCUUAUUUGAUUAAAUUGAUUCAAUUUAAGAUAUGGGUUUGUAUUAAUUUGUGUGUGAAUGUUUAUUUUGAACCUGAAUUGAUUGUUUAAUUGGGGUUUGUAUGAUUCAAUUUGAGGAUUUGAGUUGAACAAAAAUACAGAAGAGCCUCUACUGUUUCGCUUCGUAGAUAUGAGGAAUAGGUGGGAUUUGUUCGAUGAUGAAUUCUAUGAUAUGGAAAGGAUGGCAAGAGAAGCUGUGGAUAGGAGUUGUGGACAGUUGGUUGAGUUCUCUAUGGAACAUUUUGGUACUGAUGAGCUUUUAGAGUAUAUUGCUGAUGAGGCUGGCUUUCAUUUUGUGUUACUCUAUUUCUUGUAGCUCUCAAGUACGUGAUGGUGCUUAUGCCUUGUUAAUUUUUUGGUGGUGGAUCCACUGCAUUCUUAACCAGCCGUGAUGGUGGAUGUUCUUGAUUUGAACUGAAGCUGAUUGAGAAUGGUUGAAUGGUGGUGACGAUGCAGGUGUUGGGAGAUUGUGAUAUUAAUGGUAUGAGCAUGUGGCUUGAUUUGGAUGAAGUUCCAAGUGGAGCUCAACUGAUUCGACUCGGCGUUUCAAAUCGGCGAUUCAAAUGGAUUCAGCUCUACCCGGUCGUGGGAAGGGCUUUUUAGACUUUUUGAUGUUGCCACCUAAGCGUUGACGUCUGUUAACUGCCAUUUACCGUUUUCUGAAUAAAACGGUCAAGGAAAGGACACUUUAACAAAAUUUCUAAAGAACGGGGACAUCUUUUUAGUGUGAUGUGAAAAUAGAGGUAUUUUAUCAAAAAGCCCAUUAAUAUUUAUCCCACCCUUCACUCUACAUAAAAGAUGAGAUUAAUCAUGUUUAUCUUAUAGAUAAACAUUAUGUCCAAGUUAGCCAUAUACUGCCAAGUGAGCUCACAGGUGUUAGCCAUAUAUACAUUUCAUUAGCCGACUUUAUGUUUGGUGGAGGAUAUAAAUAGCCAUGAUUCCCUUUGGUUGUAAUCAGAGAAAACAGAGAAAGUAAUAAUAAAACAUUCUUUUCUUUCAUGUUC